GAGCGGGUCAACAUCAUCACCAUCACUAUCUGAAUCUGGAUCAGUAAAUGGUGUGGCAGUCUCAGAAGGCGGUCUAGAAGAUGAGGAAGGUAUAGAAGUAGGGUCAGGGGGAGGAAGAGGCUCUUCUGCAGGGGUAGGAGGAGAAGGGUGUACAAUAUGAGUAGGGGGAGGGUGUACUGUAUGAGUAGGGGAAGGGUGUACUG
rnacentral:lncRNA from 1 species